rnacentral:lncRNA from 1 species
GCCGGAAGUCAGGACCCAAGAAAGGAGCCCUGGGCUUUGGCUGGUGGUGCGCCGGUGCCAGGAUUGCUCUGUUGUGUACACCGAUUUUUUUCUGCUCAUCUACCUGGAGACUCCAGAGAGACAAUAGAUCAAUAGCAAUUUCUUCCCUGCUGGAAAAUGGCCAGCUGCAGCUUCCCACAAGCAACCCAGGCUGCCAGGCGAGUUUGCAACGCGACCUCCCGUGGUGCCAAUGACUGCAGAAGUGGAGAACAUCUGUCUCGGGGGAAAAGGUGAUUCUGUUGCAGGUGGGCUGAGGACAAACAACACCUGAAGAUAUGAGAUGAGCUCACCUAGAACAGCCUGAAGUCAAGCUUGCAUCUGACUAUUUGCACAGGCACACAUGGCUGAGACAUCCAUAAGUAAGGAUGCUGGCUAAAUGCUCUCCUUUCCUCUCCUACCUACGAGACUCACAUGCCUGCAGAUGUUUGGUUUUGGUGCUCUGGCUCACUCUGGCUUAGAGGACUCAUGUCUUAAAGAUAUGUGGCUUGUCGGGUUUGUUUUUGUAUAUUCUUUCAGAGCAGAGUUUGGCUAGUUUCAGUUGGGACAUAUCAAUUUUGAAAAUGGAAAAAGCGACCUAAUGAUGUCAACACAUCCCCUUUGAUCCCUACAGGUUUUAGAACCUUGAUGCAGAGUUUUGUUAAGAAAAAUGAGCUAUAUUGGCACAAUAAAGUUUUUUGAGAUGUUAACUUUUCAAAUCGAUAUGUACUAAUGCAUCUUUCUACAGAGUUCCAUCAAUCACACAGAAAUGAUUUUGUCUACAUUUUUCACCUCUCGUUAACAGUAAUGAUUUUUUUUUUAAAAAAAGAAAAUGAUGAGCCUGGAAUAGCUCUGACUCAUUUCAAAAGAAAUAAACCCCUCACAAUUAGUGAAAAUAAUCCUUAGUCUAGAGGUUCUCUUUUGAUUUAGAGAAUAUUUUCCCCAUGUGUGUGUGCAUUCAUGCUUGUGUUUGUAACUCUGUUAAAAGAUAUUUGAGAUAUAAACUGAGGAUGACUCAUGCCUUGUGUAAUAAAUGAUCAGUUUGAUUUUUCC